rnacentral:tRNA from 1 species
CUGGUGCUGAUGGCGGUGUUCGCCAUCGCGCUGCUGUGGCCGACCCUGGCCGACCACCUGCUGGCGCCGUUCCAGCGCAUCGGC